CUUUCGGAGCUGUGCGGCAUUCUGAGCAGGAAUGGCAAUGUGGACCUCUGUGAUGGGACAUCUUGUGGGAUCUCACAGCCAGUUCUGUGGCAAAGGAGGAUGAAGGUUUAUGAGGACUCGUCAGGAAGCUGGAUAACAGAACGAGCGCAAUGUAAGUAAUUUUGUGUGUGCAUGUGGUCCCAUUACAAGGAAUACCCAAUGGCAAAUGAGCACUAAAGAUCCCUCAACCCACACAUUGAAUGUAUUGUUCCCUGAGAGCAAUUGUAGAUAGAGGAGUGGGUGGGAAGUCUGAAGUCAGGGCAUUGUUUCUGCGUAUCUGAGUAGGCUGGUUUUUGAUAUUUGUGGGAGCUAGUGGUCGUUAACUCAUUUACCCCCUAUUUGGUGGACUCUGGUUCCCCCAUCUUAAGUGCUGAGUCAGGGGCCUAACCGGGCAGCUUUAACUAUUUGUUUGUUGUAGGUGCUAGAAGACCAGAAAAUGAAAUGGUGGAGUUUGAGGCUGGAUAGACAGUUUGAAAGGUAAGUAUUGAAAAACACUUGAAUUUGGGUCAGUACAAAGGGACAUGCAGAGACUUUGAAUCAUCAAAACUCCAGCAUGCAUUGUCCUACGGAUGUUUAGAUAGGUGUGUUUUGGAUAACACACGGGGUUCUUGUAAUGAUGUUGAUCAAAUGUCUGAGCUGAAAAUAACUUGUAGACAAUUUUUAACACUGAAGAACCCUGUG
ensembl:processed_transcript Gas5 growth arrest specific 5